GACAAACGCUGGCGGCAUGCCUAACACAUGCAAGUCGAACGGACAGAACAGGGAAGCUUUUCGGAGUGGAACUGGAAAGUUAGUGGCGGAUGGGUGAGUAACGCGUGGACAACCUACCUUGUAAAGGGGAAUAACCUCGAGAAAUCGAAGCUAAUACCCCAUAAUAACCUUGCUUCGCAUGAAGUAAGGAGGAAAGGCGGCCUUAGCGCUGUCGAUACAAGAUGGGUCCGCGUCUGAUUAGCUAGUUGGUGAGGUAAAGGCUCACCAAGGCGACAAUCAGUAGCCGGCCUGAGAGGGUGAACGGCCACAUUGGGACUGAGACACGGCCCAAACUCCUACGGGAGGCAGCAGUGGGGAAUCUUCCGCAAUGGGCGAAAGCCUGACGGAGCAAUGCCGCGUGAGUGAAGAAGGCCUUCGGGUUGUAAAACUCUGUCCUUAUCGUAGAGAGAGUGUUGUAGUAACUGACAAUACUAGGACGGUAGAUGAGGAGGAAGCCCCGGCUAACUAUGUG
rnacentral:rRNA from 1 species